GGGUAAACCUGCGAAACUCGAAUGNACGAACGGAGAGAUUCAUCGUCACUCCUCGGCGUACGGGCGUGCGACUCGAUGUCGUCCGGCUCGGCCGGGCGGCACGACGCGCGCUCGUCGACGCCCGGGGACGGCGUGCACUUCUCUCUUAGUAAAUGCAUCGCGACCCGUUCGAUGUCGGUCUAAGCGCCGUUCGGGAGCCCCGGCGUGCGCUCAAAGUCGCGGGACCGCGACGGUGGCCGACCGGCCGUCGGACGGUAUCACUGACGAAGCGCGCACGCGUUUACAACGCGUCCGGCCCGACGCAAGCCAACGUCGUAUCCGACGUNACCGCCAAAGUGCGGACGCCGGUGCGGCGUANCUGUCGUUGCUGCCGUGCAGUCUCGGACUGUGCGCGUCUCUGUCUGCGAUGAUUCAGUUUCGGGCACUCGCAGGACCCGUCUUGAAACACGGACCAAGGAGUCUAGCAUGUAUGCGAGUCAUUGAUUCAUUUAAACUGAAAGGCGCAACGAAAGUGAAGGCGCGCGCUUGCCGCGUGCUCAGGGAGGAUGGAGCGUCGAUCUCGGUCGAUCUCUCGCACUCCCGAGGCGUCUCGUUUCCAAUCUGUGAAUGCAGGCGCGCUCUGAGCAUAAAUGC
rnacentral:rRNA from 1 species